GGAGGGGUGGGGACUGUGUGGAUUUUGUUGUGUUGUAGGAGUUCUGGGAGAAGGAUUCACCUGAUUAGGUCAGCUUGGUUAAUUAAAGAGAAAAUCUAGCCUGCAGCAGAGUCCAGUGGGGUCUGAAGCACAGGGAACAAGGGAAUGGUGCCAAGCAGAUCCUGCUGAGUGCUGAACUCAUAGCCCCACCAAGGGUGCUAUUUAAAAAAUGAGUCCAUCUGACCAAGCAGCAAACAUGAGGGCAGCCAACUUGGUGGGAGUUACCACCUGCAUCCUAUGGAGAGAUGUGGGUUUGUGGUGGAAGAUUCUUGUCAGCCAGCCAGGAGUGGAUUAUUCUGGAGGAGCAAGAGACAGACCCUGGGCUUUGUCAGCUGCAGGGCUGUUUUUCUCUGGUUGGCAGCCAGCAGCUUGCUGUGCUACUAUCCUGUUCCUCAGACGAGUUAAACUGCAGCGAUGAUGGAGAAAGAAGUGGCAGCAGCACUGGAAGAAGAUGCCCCUCAGAUUCACAUUUGCUUGGUGAGCCAGAAGAUCCUGCAGAGUCUUCUGGGGAUGGCAGUGGCAGUGCUUAGCUCUGCUGUGACACGAGAUGCAUUCCCUCCCUUCUGAGAUGACUGAAGUGGGAGCUGGGCUGUGUGCCAGACCUGUAGCCUGUGGCAUUGGGCUGGAGAGAUAAGAAUUCACAGAAAUGUAGAGCACCAUAAAGUGUACGAGAAAAAUUGAAAUGACAAAGUUGUUACAGGAGAACUUCCAUAACUGGAAGCGUUUCAAACUGUUCCAUCCUCCCUGAUAACUGCAGGCAGCUUUCAUGCUGCCUUCUUAUCUUCUCCUGCCACGUAUGCAAGUACCAGAAAUGUUUGUUGGAAAAACUUCCCUUGGUUGGGUUUUCUGUUCUGUGAGAAAUCCUUACAGCCAAACUGAGUGUGCACAUGGGUGUUUUCUCCCAGAGGUUUGAGCACUGAUGUCUGCUGUCUCCAUAUCUCAAACACUGGCUGUAAAUGGAGCAAGGUUUGGUGUUUACAGGCACCCACAGUCCAGGCAAGCCAUGGCCAGUGUGCAUCUACAAAGCCACGCAGUUGGUCUAAAAACAAAGAUCUUGCUUGUUUGCAAAUGCCUGAUGCAGAGUUUUGCAUAUGCAAAGUGUUUUUGAAGGCAUUCUUUCCUGCUGAAGAACAGCUUGGGUGCUGAAAUACAGCUACUACUUCAUUGGCAGAGUUUUCUGAUGUAUGAGGAAAACUUAAGAUGAGCUGGGAAAACAUCAUUUGCCUCCUGUGAUCCUCCCCCCAUGCUCGCUUUGCAUGGAAUUAUUCUGUCUUGCAGUGAGCUGAGCAUUUUGGGGAAGGAAGUGGCACAGAGAGGCCUUUAAUCCUUCAGUGGGGCCCUUGUGACUUCAGCAGCGAUGAGGAUUUAGGGUUUCACUGGUACCCAGCAUGAGGGAUGGUGCUGCUUGGCUGUGUUACUGUGGAACUCAUGGUGCUCACGAGCCAGACUUGUAGAUUUGUACUCUUUAAAAGCCAUCAGUUGCUCCCCUUUGCCAGUGGAUAAAUUAUUUGACUUCUUAGGCCAUUAAAAAUGAUCUUAGCAUCAUUUGUCACAAUUUCAAAAGAGCAGUGCUAAUCAACAGGCCAUUCCUUCAAAAUUAACCUGUCUAAACAGCAGGAGGGAUGAGCAAGGUGUGAUCUUGGCCCCAUCACCAUAUAUAAUAAUUCUUAUUUCUUCCUCCCAUUCCUAGAAAGCAGGAUUAUUGUUCACAACCAGAAUUUGGGGAUGCUUUGCUGGAACAAAAUAAAAUUUCUGACAAUCCUUUUA